UACGUAGGGUGCGAGCGUUAAUCGGAAUUACUGGGCGUAAAGCGUGCGCAGGCGGUUCGUUAUGUCCGAUGUGAAAGCCCCGAGCUUAACUUGGGAAUGGCAUUGGAAACUGGCGGGCUGGAGUGCGGCAGAGGGGGGUGGAAUUCCACGUGUAGCAGUGAAAUGCGUAGAGAUGCGGAGGAACACCGAUGGCGAAGGCAGCCCCCUGGGCCGACACUGACGCUCAGGCACGAAAGCGUGGGGAGCAAACAGG
rnacentral:rRNA from 1 species